rnacentral:lncRNA from 1 species
GCUGAUUUUCAGAAUGACUUCUGUCACAAGUACACAAAGCCAUCAUGAUUCUUUAUCUGAAAAAUAAAUAAGGAUCAUUAAUUUUCAAUUUUUACUAUAGACUCAGAUUUGGUUACUCCUUCAAAUUGAUUGAGUCAUUUAAGUUUCUUAACACCCUUGCUUCCUUCCUACCCAGUUCCCAUUUCCUUAGUCUUCAACUUAUUUUUUGUAAUCUCUCAAUCUUAUUCCUUUUUCCUGCUUCUCUCCAUUUUUCCACCCUCCCUCCCACUAAAAUGAUUGCCCCUCCUUAAAAAUAAAAUGCUUGCUAAAAAAAAAGAAGCAUAAAAAUAUAAAAGGCAUUCUCUACACAUUGCAUAGCUACUGGCUUCCAAAAAAGUAUAUAGAAAUAUUUUAUCCCUCUUACUUUUUCAAGAAACUGUUGACACUUCAUUCUUGUAUCUGAUAUAGAAAUUGUAUCAAUUUUCCAGUGUCUUCAAUAUUCUCUUU